AUCACUUCUCAGCCUUUUCUCUAAGAUCAAGUGCAAUAUCUGUUCUUAUCAGUUUAAUAUCUGAUACGUCCUCUAUCUGAGGACAAUAUAUUAAAUGGAUUUUUGGGAUUAGGAGAUGAAAUAGGAGCUUGAUCCAUCCACUCUACACAUUGACCUGGUAUUGCAGUACUUCCAGAAAUGGUGCACCAAAA